ensembl:lncRNA
AACUUACUUAUGGUUUUUAAAUUUCAGUGGAGCUGUGACAGGUGAGGAAGGCUUAGUCAUAAUUGUUGCUAAGGGAUAUGCAUGUAAACAUUCUCUGUUGUAAGCUUCUAUUUCAAUUUAUGACUUGAUUUUAUGUGUGAACUUGUGAUAAGCUUUUAAAUAUGUGAUCAUGUACUCUGAAAGGUGUUUUUAGUGUUGAGGACAAAGAGAAGAGAGAGAAUGGAGCUGAGGAGAAGUUUUUAGACACAACUCUUUUUAGACAGAACUUAACUCAAGAGGAACUGAAAAGUAUAGGCAUAGCAUUUGGGGAAAAGGCCUUGAGAAUAAGAGCAUUAUUGUGACAUCAGAGCAAGAGGAGAGAGCAAGACUAGAAAAAGAAUGUAGAGUGGAAUAACAGAAACCAUAGGUUAAAUAAAAAACUAAGAGAACAAUGUUCAGAAUGCAGAGGGAAAUAGGAAAAAAGAAGAAGCUGCAGAGAGGAGAAGGAGUAGCUAGGCUUCACCUUACCAUGGGACAGAACACAGGUCUUUUCCUAAUAACAAGGCAGACUUAGUCUUAUUAAAGGAAUGAAGCUUUCUUCUUACAACCUUGAAUUUAGUUCAUUUAGCAUUAAAAGGGUAGAAGUUUUUUCUUUCUCCAUGCAAUAAAGAUUUAGCUCAUAUUUUUAUCCAGAAUGAGUGAGUUCUUUCUGCACUGGGGCUUGGUCUUUUGCUCCAUAUGCAUAUGUAAGAAUGGAUAUGUGUGUAUAAGUGUGUAAUUGUGAGAAUGGAUGCAAGUUGAGCACAACUUGUGCGAAUGGAAAUGAAUAAAUGCUCAUAUGUAAAUCUGUGUAUAUGAGUUUAUGCAUAUUUGCCUAUGUAAAAGUUUUUCCUUCUGCAAUUGCUAUUCUCUUCUCUUGAUUCAAUAGAAGUUUAUUGCUCCAAACUUCCCCUUAGCCUGAAAAGCAAGAAGGAUCUGGACAAAAGGGAAAAGGUGCUAGCAAAUUAUCCUUUACUGUAUCUCCUGCUGUUUUAGAAUGAAGUGCUAAGUGCCAGAGACUGCGGUUUCUGGCCUCACAGGACUACAGAAAACAGGACAGCUACAGUACCAUUAUAACAGACUUAAGUAAAUUUUUAUUUUUAUACAGGGAACCUAAAUAUUUCCUAAAACAAAGUCUUACACUCCUUUGACACUCUUACCCCUUCACUGCCUCAAAAAGAACCGACAAGAGGGAAGACCCCACUAGGCCAGGCCUAUAGCAGGAAUCAUGGGGGACAGGCCUGGAUGAAACCUCAUUUCUGGCUUUGCAUUUUCUACUCUGGAUUUUUCAUUAUGGAAAUAAUGAUACUCAUAAAUUCUUGUAUAGUUUAACUAAAUAUAAUCAGGAUUUUAUGUUCCCCUGAACUGAGAUUUAAGUGUCUUUUGUAAUAAUAGUGAUAUUCUAUUUUAAUGUCUGGAAGUUCUUUCUUUUCAAAAACAUAGUCUGAGUGGCUGAGAGGGAGGAGAGAGUACAGGUGACAUUCAAGAUCAGGCUGCAUGUCUUUCAAUCUGAGACAUCCUGGCACAAGCAGAUAUGUCCAUGCUAUGAGGAGUUUGAACCUCUAUUGAGGAGCCUUGUCACUGUCUCCUUCAUGUCCUUGUUCCUCAGGCUGUAAAUGAAGGGGUUCAGCAUGGGGGUAACCACAGUAAACAUAAUGGUGGCUACUGUAUCCUGGGUGAAGGAGUCUGGAGGUCGUAUGUAGAUCCCCAGAACUGUCCCAUAGAACAAAAUGACCACGGUUAAGUGGGAGCUACACGUGGAAAAUGCCUUGUGCCUGCCCUUGGCAGAAGGUAUCUGAAAGACUGCCACAGCGAUUUGGACGUAAGAGAACACAAUGAGAAUGCAGGGGCCACAAAGAAGACCACAGCUCCCAGGAAGAGAAGUUGAUUGACUUGUUUGUCUGAACAGGUAAACUUCAUGAGCAGAUAAGCAUCACAGUAGAAGUGAGAGACCUCUGGAAUCGAGGAGCAGAAGACACGUGGCUAGCCAAGAGCCUGGGGAUGAUAUUGGUGGUGAAGCAGAUGUCAUCAAAGGAAAUGUUGGUGAGGAAGAAGUACAUGGGGGUGUGUAAGCGCGGGUCAGAGCUGAUGGCCAUGAAGAUGAGUGUGUUACCAGCCACCGUGACCAAGUACAUGCACAGGAAAGCCCAGAAGAGGAUUCGUUGCUGUUGUGGGUCAUUGGUGAUGCCAAGCAGGAGAAACCCGCUGACUCCAGUCUCAUUCUCUCCCGCCAUGGACAUAUUCCAGCGUUUCAGGCUCCUGGAGGGAACGGGGUCCAGUGUUGCCCAGUGUGGCCCUGAAAUUUCUACAUAGCAAAAGAUGCACCCUGAAUUACUGAACUUUGCCUCCACCUCCUGGUACUGAUGUAGCAGCCAUCACUGAAUUUGAAUUCUUAAAGAGUACCUUUUAGUUUCAUUCAGGUUCAAAGUGAAAUGGAAGAAAUGAGAAGUUGUUGUUCAGUUGCCCACUCAGGCAUUGAGAAGACUGCACAUGCAGUGGGCUGUUUUGUCCUUGUCAGACCACCAGAUAAUCAGGACCAGAUCCUCUCCUUCUAUAAUACUGAUAUGUACCAGAAUGCUCUAAAGAUCCAAGGAGAGGAGGAUGGGCAGGCUGCAGCUCUGUGGAGUUCUUGCCCAGCGUUUAUGGGGUCCUCCUUUGAUGCUUAGCGGGAUGACUGAGGCUGUAGCUCGGUGGAGCACUAGCCUAGCAUCCAUGAGGUUCUGGCUUGACCUGUGCACAGCACAAGGCUGGAGUGGUGGUGAACACUUGUGAUUCCAGCACUCUGGAGGUGAAGGCAAGAGGGUCAGAAAUCCAAGGUCCUCUUCAAUCACAUAAUUUGAGACAAGCCUGGAGGUAUAUGACAACCUGUCUCAAAAAGUGCAUUCAUAUAUGCACAUACAAACAGGUAGAAAGGCAUACAGGAAAGAAGGAAGGAAGUUAGAGGAGCAAGAGAGAAGGAAGAAGGAAGAAUAAGAAAGACAAUGAAGAGACAAUUGAGAUGUAUCAAACAUUUUUAAGAGUCUCAAAGUGUGGGCUGGAGAGAUGGCUCAGUGGUUAAGAGCACCAACUGCUCUUCCCAAGGUCCUGAGUUCAAAUCUCAGCAACCACAUGGUGGCUCACAACCAUCUGUAAUGAGAUCUGAUGCCCUCUUCUGCUGUGUCUGAAGACAGCUACAGUG